CUCUCUUCAGUUGGACUAUUCCUACACCAAAUUUAUUUUGCUUUCUAAGCGAUGGUUUGAAGUUCCCAUAAAAUUAAGUAAACUUGUACAAAUAUAUGCAAUACAAGUAUUAUGAGUACAGAAUUUAAUGAAAACUCCAACAAUGUUGAAAGCAGUAGGGUUGGUGCUAAAGCAAGAUGCAAAUACAAUUAUGAUGUAAAACAUGAACUGAACUAAAAAGAAGUUGUUGUUUAAUGACUAUAUUGAGGGUAUUGGGACAGAGGGUGUUUGCUGUUUGUCAACAAAAAACAACAGCCAUGGGUAUUAAAGUCUAAGGAAUUGCUAUAAUAUUAAUGUUUUUCGACCCUUGUUUUAGCUCAAUAUACGGUCAUCAAUCUAACAAGUUCGUGCUGGUGUCAAUUCCUUAUAAUUUCUAUAAUCCUGACAUGUUUUUUUGUACCAAUGUGUUCAACGAUUCUUGCGCUUUCGAUAUCGUUGAAUUCAUAGUCCAAAUUUCCUGACACAAAGUCAUUGUAUAAAUGAUCAUAAAUAAAAAAAAAAACGGUUUUCUAAUGUGACAUAUCGCGAUUUGCGUUCUAGGACACAGCGUUCAACUCGUAUAAACCUGAAUAUUUCAUGCCCUUCUCGUAAACUAUAUCUAUUCUCGGUACAUGAUGUUGACAUCAUAGAGCUGCAGAAUAUGUUGACUUAAUCAUUUUCGUUAGAUAACUCGAAGAAAUACAAAACCGAAAUAUGAAACAGGAAGUUUUGAAUGAAACGAACAUAUCGAUGUUUACCGGUAACAGACAUGAACAAAAUCCGGAAAUCGUAAUUUUUCCAAAAUAAAAAAAAUCGGGGCGGGACGAUUUCAGAGGGGCG
rnacentral:lncRNA from 1 species